rnacentral:rRNA from 1 species
AUUGAACGCUGGCGGCAGGCUUAACACAUGCAAGUCGAGCGAGAGGCGGACGGGUGAGUAAUGUAUGGGGAACUGCCCGAUAGAGGGGGAUAACUACUGGAAACGGUGGCUAAUAACGCAUACUAUCGGAUGAACCCAUAUGGGAUUAGCUAGUAGGUGGGGUAAAGGCUCACCUAGGCGACGAUCCCGAGCUGGUCUGAGAGGAUGAUCAGCCACACGGGGACGGAGACACGGUCCAGACUCCUACGGGAGGCAGCAGUGGGGAAUAUUGCACGAUGGGCGCAAGCCUGAUGCAGCCAUGCCGCGUGUAUGAAGAAGGCCUUAGGGUUGUAAAGUACUUUCAGCGGGGAGGCGUUACCCGCAGAAGAAGCACCGGCUAACUCCGUGCCAGCAGCCGCGGUAAUUC